rnacentral:lncRNA from 1 species
AAAAACCUAAGCACUCUCUCCCUCUGCGCCGCUCGACGGUUCAUCGCCUCAUUCGAAGGCUCCCUGAACCUUGCCCUAAACUCCGAUGACAACGGAGGAAGAGCGAAAGGUCCAAUCGUGAGGUACACAUUUUUCUUUCCUUGUUAUUGUUUUUCUUUUAAACAAAGAUUGAUGAACAUAAAAACAAGAAAAAGAAAGCAAAGAAAAGAAUCAAUUCCAGCCAAGAAAAUAGAAAAGAAUAAAAACCCAGAAAAUCACCUUCCUCUCUUCGAUUUUUUUGUAUUCUCAAUCUUUGUAUAUUGAAUGCGUAAAUUUUUACAAGCGUUUUUUGGUUCUUAUAUCUGUAUUCGACAAAGAACCCGAAAAAUCGAAUCAAAAAUAAAAACAAAAAUAAAAUAGAAAACCCCCAUUGGUUUGCUCUUUGCUCGUUGUUUUCAUUCUGUUUGCAGGCCUGGCGUACGGCAGGGGACGUGGCGUGUACAGAGACGAGGGCGCGCGCAUACAGAGUCUCGUCACAUGCGGAGGGAGCGUGAAGAGAUGCUUCUACUGCGGCGCUGGGAACCCUUGCUGCUAGGGUUUCUGGCUUCUGGUUUAGGCUAGUUGUUUGGGCUUGAUUUUGGGUAGUAAUUUUGGGCCGUGCUAAUUUAAUUUAUUGGGCCAGGUGUUAAGUUUGGGCUUCUGUUAAUUAGACUGUUUAACAAACUGUGGUGUUUGGUUUUUUUAUUAUCUAUUGGGCCGAGCAAAUAUUAG